rnacentral:tRNA from 6 species
GCUUCGUUAGCUCAGUUGGCAGAGCACCUGCCUUUUAAGCAGGGUGUCCGGGGUUCGAAUCCCCGACGAGGCACCA